CAUUAUAAUAUUAUGAAUUGGUUAUAACGAUUGGUUUGUAGUUGGAAGGAUAUGAGCGGUCACCUAUUUUAGGGAUCGGGUACACCAAAGCUGUCUUAUAAGAAGCCGGAUAAUGCCAGAAGUGUAGGAGAAACGUAA